rnacentral:rRNA from 1 species
GCGCAGCAGGCGCGAAAACUUUACAAUGUGCGAAAGCACGAUAAGGGAACUCUGAGUGCCUCCUAAGGAGGCUGUUCAGGUGUCUAAAAAGCACCUGGAGUAAGGGCUGGGUAAGACCGGUGCCAGCCGCCGCGGUAACACCGGCAGCCCAGGUGGUAGCCACUUUUAUUGGGUCUAAAGCGUCCGUAGCCGGUUGAGUAAGUUCCUUGGGAAAUUUGGCUGCUCAACAGUCAAGCUUCCAGGGAAUACUGCUCGACUUGGGACUGGGAGAGGUCAGAGGUACUCCAGGGGUAGGGGUGAAAUCCAUUAAUCCCUGGGGGACCACCGGUAGCGAAGGCGUCUGACCAGACCAGGUCCGACGGUGAGGGACGAAGGCUAGGGUCGCGAACCGGAUUA